rnacentral:lncRNA from 1 species
CUCUCUGCCUCUCUCUGGAACACAGGAGGAACUUUGCUACUGCCUUGACCGACAGAAUACGGGGGAAGCGACAUUGUGUGAAUUACAAGCAGGGUGACUAACACACCAUCAGAGUGGCAGGAAAUUGGAGAAUCACUACGACAGUCACCUAGCCUGGCUGGCAGCAUUGAAAGAACAAACAAGUGCCUCCAGAAUUAAGGAAUUAAGGAGAAAAGCAGCCCUGACUUCAGAGGGUACAUCUUCCAUAAAGACCGUGCCCUGAGCUCACCAUUCCUCUUUCUGAGAGAGCUGAGGCAGUUCUUCCUUCAGGGGAGCAACCAUUGUUCUAGGCUCAAAGCAAGUCUGAGAGAGACGCACACGUGUGGGAUUCUAGGACCUUGACCCUCCACCACAAACAGAGGCACUCACCUCUGCAUUCUGGGAAACGACAGUCUGUGUGUCAGCCAGAUAAACACUUAAGUUCAGGGGCAUCUGACAAACAGCUGUCCCCACCGACCUUGU